GCGCGCGCUGGUGCACGGAGGUGCGCGGGCCGAUCAGCUUGGCCCAGAAGGCGCCGGCCUCGGCCGCCCGCUCGGCGCUGACCGCGCGCA
rnacentral:tRNA from 1 species